AGAUGCCUUCUGCCACGAUUGCAAGUUCCCUGAGGUCUCCCCAGCCAUGCAGAACUGACCUGUGAGAGAAAGCAGGGGAAGCAGAACCCUUUGAUGGAGACAACAGAGUCAGGACAAUAUUGUUUAAGUCUCCUAAAUCCAAACAUGCCUGAAGCUAUAAGUUACUUCUGAAACUUAAAAAUUUGUAUGUGGUAUCUGUUUAUUAUGGCAGCCCAGUAAGACUAAGACAGGCCAUCACAAGACGUGAACGUUUUGGACCUUCUCUUGGGCCCUAGUAAACAGAAAUCAGGCUAUUUAUUAAACUAAUCCACGUUCUGAACUGCUAUUGCUACUGGAAACCAGUCCCGAUCCAGACCCCAAAAGAGGAUUCUUGGAUCUUGCACAAGAAAGAAAGUCUACUCCUCACAGUAAAAGAGCACUUGGUGGAAAUUUUGUUCUGAAGUCAAGGCUGAAACCCCAGAGAUCAAACACUGUACUCAAGUUUACAAAGCUGGACUCAGACCCUAACACUGGCUUUAAAAUUUGUCCUAAGUUAGACCAUAAUGCCUCUCUUUCCAGCUGGAUCUACAUGCCUCCACUCUGGCUUUUAACAAGGCUCUGAACUAUUGUCAGAACUUGGGAAUUUCUAACAUUGAAGGUAACACAUUGACACAAUUUCCUCGAUGUAAAAUUGUAUACACUUUAUCCAAGUACCAUCUGAGCAUGUUAUGUCCUAUUUGUACCCUUACAAAAACUGAUUGGUGGCCAAAUUGAUUUGAGACUGAAAGUUGCCACUUAUGUUCUUAGAAAUACUUGCUUUAAUUCUCCAGAAUCAGUUGCUCUGAUACAACUU
rnacentral:antisense_RNA from 1 species